GCCCACGUAGCUCAGUUGGUAGAGCGCAUCCUUGGUAAGGAUGAGGUCGGCAGUUCAANUCUGCUCGUGGGCUCCA
rnacentral:tRNA from 1 species